UACGGAGGGUGCGAGCGUUGUCCGGAAUCACUGGGCGUAAAGGGCGCGUAGGCGGCCUGAUAAGUAGGGGGUGAAAUCCUGCGGCUUAACCGCAGGGCUGCCUUCUAAACUGUCAGGCUAGAGCACAGUAGAGGCAGGUGGAAUUCCCGGUGUAGCGGUGGAAUGCGUAGAGAUCGGGAAGAACACCGGUGGCGAAGGCGGGUCUCUGGGCCGUAACUGACGCUGAGGAGCGAAAGCGUGGGGAGCGAACAGG
rnacentral:rRNA from 1 species